GACCUGCUUAUGCCGCACAUAGUAGAGAGACAACUGCGACUAUCCAAACAAUGCUUCUGUCAACAUGGAGACAAGGCCGGCCGACCUUUAGCGCAACGGGCCCGGGCUGCUAGCGCAUCGCGGUCGAUUCCACCCACUGAAUGAAACCCACUAAAAUCAUCAAACUGCAUUGACAUCCAACAAAAGUCAAGACUGCUCGAAGAACAAUGACUACCAAUGCAAAAUUAACAGCUGAAAUGGCGGGAAUUAAAGAUUCCCUAAACUUUAUGUCAAGGGAACUCAGUGAAGUGGUGGAACAGCAGAGGAAACUGACAGGCCUCGUGGAGGAGAUCAGGCAGCUAAAGGCUAUCAUCCAACACAAGAAUGAACAGAUUGAGCUCUUAGAACAAAGGGUGGAUGAUUUGGAACAGUAUUCCAGAGCUGAUGACCUUGUGGUCACCGGCCUGGAGACCAGGCAUCGGAGUUAUGCCUGGGUUGCUGGCCCACCUGAUGGCAAGCAUGGUGAGGACGAACCAUCUGAGGAGCUUGACACCUUGGAGCAACAAGCGGUGCGCUACAUGAAGAGUAAACAUAUUCCUCUGGAGAGUCAGCACAUGUCACAUUCUUCCAAGUAAGGACAAAAAAACAAGCCUAAAGUCAUCAUCACGUUUGCAAAUAGAAAGCACAAGGUGGACACUCUGAAGGCAGCUAAAAAACUUAAGGCACUGGAGUUUAUCUAAAUGAGCACCUGACAAAGAAAACUGCGGAAAUUGCUUGGACAUGCCGUAUCCUCAAAAAGCAAAAUAAAAUCCAAUCUACCUGGACAAGGAAUGGAAAAGUUUUCAUCCGGACAAACGGACCACCAGAAAAAGCCGAAGUGAUUGUGAUCAGAACAUUGAAAGACCUGGAUCAGUACAAAUGAAAAUAGUCCGCAAGGGGCUGAAAGGGGCGUGGCCUCCAGCUCCGGCUGAAUUUCGGGAGAUUGUCGGGAGAAAAUUUCUUCCGGGAGGUUUUCGGUAGAGGCGCUGAAUUUUGGGAGUCUCCCGGAAAAUCCGAGAGGGUUGGCAAGUAUGACGUGGACUGCAAGAUUCUGGCCAAAGUUCUCUCUAUACGUCUCCAAGCAGUGAUGCCCUCAAUAAUUCCGGCUGAUCAGACGGGUUUCACGGUGGGGAGGCAUCCAUUCUUUAUCAAUCCAAUCCAAUCCACUUUAUUUAUAUAGCACAUUUAAACAACAAAUUUUUUUCCAAAGUGCUGCACGACAAUGUUAAAAACAAUAUUCAAAUAUUAUCCUUAGCUCCAACAAUGACUGAAUAAAAACAAAAAAUAAAUAAAUAUAAAAACAAUAUAUAGAGUUCGUACAUGGAGGGGCAGAGUGUUCCAGAGUUUAGGACCGACCACAGAGAAGGCCCCGUCUCUCCUAGUUUUAAGUCUGGUCUUGGGCAGCGAAAGCUGGAGCUGGCUCUCGGACCUCAGAACGCACGCAGGAAUGUACAUGUGAAUGAGGUCCGAGAUAUACUGAGGUGCCAGUCCAUGUAGAGCUUUAAAAGCAAACAGCAAGGUUUUAAAAUCAAUUCUAAAAUGAACAGGGAGCCAGUGCAAAGUCUCAAGAAUUGGGAUUAUAUGCUCGCGUUUCCUGGCCACUGUUAAAAGUCGUGCUGCCGCGUUCUGGACUAACUGCAACCGGGAGAGAGCUUUUUGGCUAAUGCCAGCAUAAAGUGCAUUGCAGUAGUCCAGGUGACUUGAAAUCAAAACUUGCACGACUUGUUCAAAAAGGUUAUACAAGAUAAAAACAGUUUUACUUUUGCUAAAAGACAAAGAUGAUAAAAACACGAUUUUAAAACACCAUUGACUUGUUUGUCAAGUUUAAAAUCACUGUCUAUAGUGAGGCCAAGGCUGGUGACUUCGGGACGCACAUCAUUUUGCAAUGGUCCCAAGUCAGUGAGGGCCGGAACAAGAACUAAAAUUUCCGUUUUUCCCUCAUUCAUUAUUAAAAAAUUCUGGAUUAAUAUUUAAUCCAGGUAAAGAGUCAGUGCUCGAUCCUACUUUGGUGUCAAGUAGUAUUGCAGCAACCUGUGAUUAUCCAGUGGAAAAAGAGAAGUUGUAAGUGACCAUUACCCAGUUGAAUGUAAAUUACAUAUCAUUAUGCCUGAAAUUGGGGAAGUGGGAGAGGAAGACGGGCAUUUGGACAAGCAAAUUGGGGAAAGUUUGCGCAAAUUGGGGAAAGUUUGCAGAAGGUAGUGAAAAGUCAUCUGAAGAAAUGUAUGUUGUCAAUGAAGUCACAAUAGUAGAUCUUUAUUGUAAAAUAAAGCAGGGUAUUCUGCUAGCUUCUUCCAAAUCUAGUCGGGGAGUAAGGAAAGUAAAAGCAAGAAGGUUGUACUACGGUGGAACGAGGUUUGCAAGGUAGCUAUUAAAAGUAGGAGCAAGGCAUUUACUGUAAAUUGGUUAAAAUGACAGAUCAUUUUCAGCAUCUGAUUCAUUAUAUGCAAGCUCAGACUGUAGAUAAGACCAGCUAAAAUUGGAUAUUGGAAAGGAUAUUGUGAUUCUAUUGGGAGAUAAUUUAAUAUUACACAGGUAUGUGGUGUGGUUAAAAAGAUGGGUGGGGAUAGGAGAAAUCAGGUCCUUCCUGUUCUCAGUGAUGGAGGAGUGACUGCAGUUAAUGAAUUGUUGGCAGGGAGUGUUGUUAAGGUUCACUGUUUUGAUCAUUUGAAUGAGCAAGAAAAACAAGGCCUACGGAAAACUAAAUUAGAAAAUAGCGAUGCAUUUGUGAAGGGACGCAAGUAGGGGAUUUUAUUUUUUUCAUUGCCAUGCAAGUUUUAUAGUAUUUUAUUGCUGUGGAUUUUAAAUUGCAUGUUUUUAUAUUUUAGGAUUUGAUUAUAGUUUUAUUUGCAUGUUUUUAUAUUUUAGAAUUUGAUUGUAUUUUGGAUUGCACGUUUUUACAUUUUGGAAGUUGAUUGUAUUUUUAAUUGCAUGUUUUUAUUCCUCGUGGACGUGCUGGUAUUUUAAGACAUUGCCCCUUUUAGCUGGUUGCCCCUAACAACAAAAGUGCCCAAUUGGACACACCUGAGGAGCAUUAGGACUGCACAUUUAAAAGGAGCAGCAAGAGAUUGGAGGACAGAGGGUUGGCAGCAGGAAAGAGGGGACGGAAGGAUUUGGCAGGCUUCGCCAAGAGCGACUGAGCGCACGCAGGCGGGGAAGGAACCCCCGGACGACACAGCACAUCCCGCAGGCUACCGGAGCGAACCCCUAGGAACACACAACACGCAGGGGCAGUCUGCCUCCCACGUAAGUCCCGUGUGUUGUGGAGCUGUGGAGACAUCUGACUGCCUUUGGCUGUGGCUUUGCGGGCUUGUGCGUCGUAGCUGGCUGUGUGGUUCUUGUGGACAGGGGGCGAUUUGGACCCGGAGACCUGCGGUGACCCCCGAUAGUGACCAAGAGGCGGAGCGGGACGGGUGCGGCCACGUAGGUCCUGCUAGUGACUGAGACUGGCGAGGAGAGUGGGCGGGCCCCAACACUUUGACGCGGAACUACAGCAACGGCAGGGGAAACCCUGCCUUGUGUGUAAGUGUGACGUCAGCCCGGAUAGCGUCGCAGUUUUUUUGUUGAUUUUAUCUCCGUGGCCUGCCUCCCUUUUUAAUUUUUGUGCAGGAGGACGCCGUGGAAGGGGCGGAGCCAAGAUACCCACACGCCUGUUGGCCCCUCGCCCAUCACCUUUGUACCAUCUGGUAUUUUAGCAUCACCAACGUGACUGUUUUUAUUGUAUUUUAAUAAAUUGUGAACCGGUUAAUCAUCUUUCCUUAUUUUGGACAGCUGCUCUCACUACAUUGGGUUCUUAAUAUGUAUAUUAACAAUUUGUAUUGGUUUUAAGCAAUCACUGCAUUGAAUUUUGAUAUUUUUACCACUCUGGACCAUUACACAUUUUGUAUUAAAUCUGAUUUUGAUGGACCCAAUUUUGAUGCAAGAAGGUAUUUGCCUUGUUGAAUAGAAGGAAAUAAAAUGGGGUUUUAGGUUUUCUGUUAAAGUCUAAAGUUAUGUAUUUUACUCAAAGGAAAAUUUGGAUCUAAAGCUGAAUACUAGUCUUGAAACUGUCAAAACAUUUCGUUUUAUAGGAGUGCAUUGUGUCCAAAGAUUGACGUUGAGUGCAUUUUAAAUGUCUGAUUAAUAAAUGUAAAGCGGUUCUUAAUUUGAUGAGAUGCCUUACAGGUACAGAGUGUGGUGUGGAUUUUAAGUCAUUGAAAUGUAUUUAUAUAGCUUUGAUAAGAUCCCGAAUGGACUAUGGAUGUUUAGUCUACAGAUCUGUUGCUAAAUCCAGCCUCUCAAAACUGAAUGUGAUUCAAUCUCAAGCUUUAAGAAUGUGUUUGGUUGCAGUGAGAACAUCACCGGUGUGUGCUUUACAAGUAGAAUCACAAGAAAAUCCAUUACAAGUGAGAAGAGACCAACCUUCAGCUCAUUAUUGGAUUCAUCUGAGAGGACACGAAUAGUCUCACCCAGGAAACGUUGUGACCCAGGUAUGCUGGGAAAGGGAAAGUGUUGAAAAAAGCUGUUUGACUGGAAAGGAAAUCCGAUAACUCAUAGUAUGGGUGUGUAGGCAAAAGAGUUUGAGGAGACUGUAAUGUGGCCAAUUCAUCUGGUAUUACUAUUUGAAAAAUGAAUAGUGCACCUUGAGGUAUUGUCAAUUAAACAAAGAAAGAGGAAUGUG